rnacentral:rRNA from 1 species
UGUGAGAGCAAGAGCCCGGAGAUGGAUUCUGAGACACGAAUCCAGGCCCUACGGGGUGCAGCAGGCGCGAAAACUUUACAAUGCCGGCAACGGCGAUAAGGGGACCUCGAGUGCCAGGUUACAAAUCUGGCUGUCGUGAUGCCUAAAAAGCAUUGCAUAGCAAGGGCCGGGCAAGACCGGUGCCAGCCGCCGCGGUAACACCGGCGGCUCGAGUGGUAACCGUUAUUAUUGGGUCUAAAGGGUCUGUAGCCGGCCGGAUAAGUCUCUUGAGAAAUCCAGCAGCUCAACUGUUGGGCUUUCAGGAGAUACUGUUCGGCUCGAGGCCGGGAGAGGUGAGAGGUACUUCAGGGGUAGGGGUGAAAUCUUGUAAUCCUUGAAGGACCACCAGUGGCGAAGGCGUCUCACCAGAACGGACCUGACGGCAAGGGACGAAAGCUAGGGGCACGAACCGGAUUAGAUACCCGGGUAGUCCUAGCCGUAAACGAUACUCGCUAGGUGUCGGCCACGGUGCGACCGUUGUCGGUGCCGUAGGGAAGCCGUGAAGCGAG